AUAGCGUAUACUAAAGUUGUUGCAGUUAAAAAGCUCGUAGUUGAAUUUCUGGUCUUGGACAUCGGUCUGCCUCGAACGAGGUACGUACCAGUUGUCUGAAUCCAUCCUCGGGGAAAACGUAUCUGUCAUUCAGUUGAUGGGUACGGGAUCCUCGUCAUUUACUGUGAGCAAAAUAGAGUGUUCAAAGCAGGCUUAUGCCGUUGAAUACAUUAGCAUGGAAUAAUAAGAUAAGACCUUGGUCUAUUUUGUUGGUUUGUACUCCAAGGUAAUGAUUAAUAGGGAUAGUUGGGGGUAUUCGUAUUCAAUUGUCAGAGGUGAAAUUCUUGGAUUUAUGGAAGACGAACUACUG
rnacentral:rRNA from 1 species